UCAAGUUUGGCAUGUGUUUUAACACAUGUGAAGGUGUAGUCUUUUCUUCUUCAGCGGAUAUUUGUACAAGACCCCGUUCACCGUCUAUCAGCUCUAGCUCGGCAAGAAUAAAGCGGUUCCUUAGAAGUGGUGGAGGUGCUGGGGUUCUGCAUACCAAGGACGUAUAAGGUCACAAAGCUGCACCCAGGUAGAGGCAGAAUCCAAAAAUGCUUGUGUACUUAAGUAUAGCUGCACAUUACAGAAUCCGAGGCCCUCAAGAUUUAUCCGUAGCCCUCGUGUAGCCCACGAGUUCCAUAUUUUUUAUUGGGAUUGAAGAGUAACGUUUGUGCUGUAUCCUUCUAUUUCAGACUAAAUAAUGUGCAUGCAAAAUUAUAUCUUCAUUACUUUACAGCAUUGCACCAAUAUCUGU